AAUGGGGGCAACCCUGAUCCAGCCAUGCCGCGUGAGUGAAGAAGGCCUUCGGGUUGUAAAGCUCUUUCGGCCGGGAAGAAAUCGCAUGGGUGAAUACCCUGUGUGGAUGACGGUACCGGAACAAGAAGCACCGGCUAACUACGUGCCAGCAGCCGCGGUAAUACGUAGGGUGCGAGCGUUAAUCGGAAUUACUGGGCGUAAAGCGUGCGCAGGCGGUUUCGUAAGACAGAUGUGAAAUCCCCGGGCUUAACCUGGGAACUGCAUUUGUGACUGCGAGACUAGAGUGUAGCAGAGGGGGGUAGAAUUCCACGUGUAGCAGUGAGAUGCGUAGAGAUGUGGAGGAAUACCGAUGGCGAAGGCAGCCCCCUGGGCUAACACUGACGCUCAUGCACGAAAGCGUGGGGAGCAAA
rnacentral:rRNA from 1 species